CAAAGUUCACGGCCACCGGGGCAGGGCCUGGCCGGGCAGGGCGCUCCGGGCAGCAGGGGCAGCCCUGGCAGGCCCGGGCCGGGAGGGCGCGGCGCCCGGCCGGGAGGCCGCCCGGGGACCCCGCCGAGCCGCGGGCCCACCUGUGACGAGGCUCACUUUGGCCAAUCAAACCCCACCGAAAACCUCUGGCUCCCUAGGAGGGCCUCUACCUAAGGACUCCAUCUCAUGAAUGCUGGGGAGGAAAGGGCUUUGGCAUUUCCCAGGGCCGACUUGAAGACUGCCACCCACUGACAAAACCCUUCAUACAGCCCAUGAGUGCACCUGCUAGCCGGCAUCACACAUUCACACCUGAGGGGACAAAGUGACUGACCCAGGACACCAAACAGUAGUCACAGUCAGCAGCCAGAGAGUGAAAUGAAAACCGCAGUGAAGUGAAAGGGACAGAGGUGCCACACAAGUAACAGUGACCCUGGGUGUCCCCAGAUUCCCAGGAUCACUGCCUGGAAUAGCUUGGAAGCCACUGGAGAGCUGACCCCAGGGACCAGAGCAAGAUGCUCCCAGAGAGCAAGAGCUUUCUAGGAAGCACAAGGUGCAGGCCCAAGAGAUGCCAAGUGGGCAGUUCCAAGCCGUGACACGAAGUCACUUGGAGUGGUCUGAAAGGGUCUCCCAGAGACAAAGGGAAAUGGGCUAAGACACAAGUGGAGAAAGCACCCCGAAGGAUCUAUCUAACUUCAGGACUCCAUGGGUUUAAGCAGGGGUGAGCAUCGGAUUUGCAUAUUGGAAGAUGGCCACCAGUGUCUACAGCCACAGCCUUCUGAAGGACCCCAACCUUGGAAGCUAAGCAGAGUCAAACCUGGAAAUAUAUAGAUGAGAGAAUGAUUGGUGGCAACAAAGGUCAGGGAGAAGCUGAGAAGAAAGAAAAUGGUACCUAUUUAAGAUGUGGUGACCUUUCCCAGCGGUGGUGGCUUGCACCUGUCAUCCCAGUAUUCAGGAGGCUGAGGCAAGAGUCUCCAGGAGUUCCAGGCCAGCAAAACUCUACCUACCGGAAACAAAAAGACUUGGCGACUUCCUAGGAGGAGAGAUACCAAACUGUUCACAGGAUGCACACGUUUGAGGCUCAGAGGGUGGUAGGCAGAUGGCGUGAACCUGGCUGUGUAUGAAGGAGCAACUGUACUCAGGGGAAGGAAGGGCCAGACAGGUCCAGUUUUCUACAUAUGUGAACUUGAGCUGAGCCAUACUCUGACACCUAAUAAAAGCUGGGAGAGUCUGAGCAAG